rnacentral:hammerhead_ribozyme from 1 species
AUCUAGCUGACGAGUCCCAACUAGGACGAGACGCGCUUCUUGGAU